AAUCAGGGUACAAAAAUUAAGUGUAAAAAAUCAAUGUAUAAGAAAAUCAGUGCAGAAAAAUUUUAGUGUAUAAAAAUUCAGAGUAAAACAUUUGGUGCAGAAAUAUUUGUUGUUUCAAAAGUCAAGACCCACUUCUGGUAAUUAGAGACUGAAGCACCUGAUUGGCUGGUUGGGAGACACGAUCGAUUGCUUCUGUCUGAAUUGACAGGAAGUGAGUCCUGAGUUUUGAAUAGUCUUCUGACAAACUUUUAUACAAGAUUUUUGAAGGAAAAAAAAGACACACAAUGAAGAAGCAAGUCAGCAGCACCUGAGGAGAUGACCAUGGUCUUCCCUGGCAGAUGGUCCUCCCUGGAACAUGACCACGGACCAGCAGAAGUCAGCAGCACCUGAGGAGAUGACCAUGGUCUUCCCUGGCAGAUGGUCCUCCCUGGAACAAAGGAGAGACUAAUUAGUCUUGACCACGCUCAGAGCGCCAGCCUGCCAGCUGAGGGCCGAUCGGUUUUCUCCGGCUCGGGUGGAAGGCCUGAGUCUGUCACGAGAUCCACAAGGUCAGGUUUCAGAGUUUUCAGCGGCCCCAGGCCCGGAAGCGGCAACACAAUCCAUGGCGAGGAGCUUGGUCUUCUGGCGCACCUUUGACUGCUGCUCUGACCGCUCACCUUCUGGUCCGGCAAAGGAUCCCCGGCACGUUAGAAGACCAGGUCAGCUGGAUCCCUGGCACACAGAAGACCAGGUCAGGUCGAAGUGGGACUCUCAGCUGUGUCAGUGGGGGAAGGGGGGGCAGCGUGGACCCUAGACCAGAACUAUCAGGGUUUCCUGCAGCGCUUUGUUGUUAAAGCGUCCGCCUUAACAACAAAGAGCCACCGCCUAAACUAAAGUCUUUUUUUAUUUAUUAAUUUUUUUAAAUGUUGUAUUUAUUU